UUCAAAGCUAAUUGCUAAUGGCUCAGAUAUCCCAUCAGUCAGCUCCUUGAGUAUUCUAGGAUGUAUUUCAUCAUGCCAUGGUGAUUUGAAGAUAGCUUAAUUGUUUAUGUAAUUUUUGACUUGU